UGCAAAUUGAUGAAAACAGUC
rnacentral:piRNA from 1 species